AACGCUCUUAACACCCUACAAGCAGGUAUGUGCUUACCAGCAAACUAAAGUAAAUGGAAAUUAAGAAGCAUAUUCACCACCAGCAAGGUGCUGCUGACCUACAAGGCUUCAGAUGGUCAGAUAAAGUACCUGAUGCUGAAAAACAGGAAAUUGAAUCGUGUCUCCAAAAUGUGCCUUUUGUCAUGCGCUGUUACAGCUACAUUUCUUGCUCUUUAGGCCUUAAUGAUUGACAUGAUUUUUGGAGAUCAGUUGGUAUGUAGCAAAAUGCUCCUAGAAAUCUAGAAGAUGAGGCAAGAGGAAAACAUGGAGCCUUUUCUGAAUAAGCCUAUGAGAGAAGAAGAAUCACUUCAAUUUGUAACUGUGGAUUCUGGGGCUGAAUACCUUACCUAAGACCAUACAGCCAGCAAAUUACUGAGCCAGCAUAUUCUGAACCCCGGUCUUUGUUCUUUCCAAGACUUCACAGUGUCUUCCUUACAGUAUAUCCCCAUGAAAAUCAUCUUUAAAGAAGUGAUCUGUGGUGUCACCAUUUGUGUCAAAAUGGUAUCACAAACUUAUUUAAAAAGUCUUUAUCUAAAAGUCUUCCUAACACAUAUAUCUUUGGCCAGGGGAGAGCUCUAAUAUCACACACUAAUAACCCUACCUUUGUAACAUAUAAAUUGUUUUUUGUUUUACCAUCUCAGUUUCAUUAAACUGAGAC